CCUUCAAACUUGAUCAAUAGAGUAUGUCAAGAUCUUAGUGAGCUUGUUGUGCUAUCCACAAGGCUUACUACAAAAAUUGACAUGAUGUUGAUCAAGAGCAUAUUGAUGCUUAUGGCAUAUUUAAAUAGUGUUGCUUUGUUGUGCUAUCUACAAGGACAGCAUUGUUUAAGUAUGACCAUAUAGAUUGAAGGAUCAACUUAACUAGAAUACUAUAGUUUGUUGUACUAUCCACAAGACUAUAUGUGAUCUAGAGGU
rnacentral:lncRNA from 1 species